GCAUUCGGCCAUACCAGGCUGGGUACGCCCGAUCUCAUCUGAUCUCGGAAGCUAAGCAGGGUCGGGCAUGGUUAGUACUUGGAUGACUAACUGGGAAUACUACGUGCUGAAAGCA
rnacentral:rRNA from 1 species